rnacentral:lncRNA from 1 species
UUUAAUAUUUAAUAUUUAUUAUUUAAUACAUAAGAAAUAAUAAUGAAAAAAAAAUUCAUUAAAUAUGUAAUAAUUUGUUACAUUGGACAGACAAAAAACUAAUGACCCGCCCAAUUAUAACGUCCCCCGGUUCCACACCCCGGUGCGUUAGUUUGUCUCUGAGGUCUCCCACGAUUUUCUUGAGGUGUUGGUGGUCUUUGGAUGCUGACCUGAUCGAGCGAUGGCUGGUUGGAAGGUCUGGCGGAAG